UACGGGGGGGGCAAGCGUUGUUCGGAAUUACUGGGCGUAAAGGGUGCGUAGGCGGUCCGCUAAGUUGGAUGUGAAAACUCUGGGCUUAACCCAGAGCCUGCAUUCAAAACUGACGGGCUAGAGUUCUGGAGGGGGUAGCGGAAUUCCUGGUGUAGCGGUGAAAUGCGUAGAUAUCAGGAGGAACACCGGUGGCGAAGGCGGGUCUCUGGGCCGAUACUGACGCUGAGGAGCGAAAGCGUGGGGAGCAAACAGG
rnacentral:rRNA from 1 species